CUUUUAGUUUUUAAAAUGUCUCGAUUCAUAAUAUUUUUGUUUUUGGCUCUAGUUGCUUGUACCGUGGCUGCCAAUGCACUACCACAAGAUUACAGGGUAGUUAGAGGAGUCACGCCUUGGGUUUUAACAAGUGGAUCUCGCAGAGUAGCUCGUGACCUAUCGAAGAGGGUACUUGCUACUAAUAUUGGAUAGUAUUAUUACGUUAUUCCGAAUUCAUCCCAUUACAAGUCAUCCCAUCCGAAAAUAUUCAAGUAAUAUUUUUUUAAUGGCAUAUUCAUAAUCACCAAACAAAAUGUACCUAGAAUUCAAAAUGAAAAAGUUGAGUAAUAGGGAUGACGCGAAUGAAGGAUAACCUAUCAUGUUUAUUAAGACUCAACGUUUUAUAAAUUUGCUUAAUAAAAUGUUUAAAAAAUGAAUAUUUAAA